rnacentral:rRNA from 1 species
AUUGAACGCUGGCGGCAGGCCUAACACAUGCAAGUCGGACGAGUGGCGGACGGGUGAGUAAUGUAUGGGGACCUGCCCGAUGGAGGGGGAUAACUACUGGAAACGGUAGCUAAUACCGCAUACCAUCAGCUGAGCCCAUAUGGGAUUAGCUAGUAGGUGAGGUAACGGCUCACCUAGGCGACGAUCCCUAGCUGGUCUGAGAGGAUGAUCAGCCACACUGGGACUGAGACACGGCCCAGACUCCUACGGGAGGCAGCAGUGGGGAAUAUUGCACAAUGGGCGCAAGCCUGAUGCAGCCAUGCCGCGUGUAUGAAGAAGGCCUUCGGGUUGUAAAGUACUUUCAGUCGGGAGGCGUUACCGACAGAAGAAGCACCGGCUAACUCCGUGCCAGCAGCCGCGGUAAUAA